rnacentral:rRNA from 1 species
UACGUAGGGACCAAGCGUUGUUCGGAUUUACUGGGCGUAAAGGGCGCGUAGGCGGCGCGGUAAGUCACUUGUGAAAUCUCUGAGCUUAACUCAGAACGGCCAAGUGAUACUGCAGUGCUAGAGUGUGGAAGGGGCAAUCGGAAUUCUUGGUGUAGCGGUGAAAUGCGUAGAUAUCAAGAGGAACACCUGAGGUGAAGACGGGUUGCUAGGCUGACACUGACGCUGAGGCGCGAAAGCCAGGGGAGCAAACGGG